rnacentral:rRNA from 1 species
AUUGAACGCUGGCGGCAGGCCUAACACAUGCAAGUCGAACGGUAGCACAGAGAGCUUGCUCUCGGGUGACGAGUGGCGGACGGGUGAGUAACGUCUGGGAAACUGCCCGAUGGAGGGGGAUAACUACUGGAAACGGUAGCUAAUACCGCAUAACGUCACAAGACCAAAGUGGGGGACCUUCGGGCCCCACCACAUCGGAUGGGCCCAGAUGGGAUUAGCUAGUAGGUGGGGUAAUGGCUCACCUAGGCGACGAUCCCUAGCCGGUCUGAGAGGAUGACCAGCCACACUGGAACUGAGACACGGUCCAGACUCCUACGGGAGGCAGCAGUGGGGAAUAUUGCACAAUGGGCGCAAGCCUGAUGCAGCCAUGCCGCGUGUAUGAAGAAGGCCUUCGGGUUGUAAAGUACUUUCAGCGGGGAGGAAGGCGGUGAAGUUAAUAGCUUCACCGAUUGACGUUACCCGCAGAAGAAGCACCGGCUAACUCCGUGCCAGCAGCCGCCGUAA